AUUACUAUGAAGAGGAUAAUGUGAAGUUAUUCUCGGAAGAUUAUGGCACUGCGAAAGGAAUGUAGCACUGGGCCAUAAAUUAACCGGAACAGGAAAGGCUUAUUCUCAACUCCAGUUUAUUAACUCAGCCAUAUGCAUAUGUAACCCUUUGUACCAAAAACUUGUACUGUAUUCCUGGAAAUCUGAGGAGCAGCCUUUGGUGGAUGAAGAAUGUAAUUCUCCCUGGAGAUGUGGGUAUCCCUUUUGAAGGGGACUGAAGUAGAAUCAGCUGAUAUCCAAGGAACACGACGUCAAGACAUGCAAGAGUACUUUGGAGAGAACUGGCAAUAAGCGUUGCAGUACCAUGGUGGCAAUAACACUGGCUGUCCUCUGGAGAUGCUGAAGCUCAGCCUUAUUUUGAACUUCUUUCUUAGACCCUGCAACUUGUUCACGAAGGACUGCUACUGAUUUGGAUUCAUAUGGUCAUGGGUAUGGAUUUUUUCCUCCCAUUACUUGACAUCUGCAUGUUUCCAGCAGUGAUGAAGUCAGUAGUAGGUCUGCUGACAUUUGAUCUGUUCUUGGGAGCUCUGAGUGACAGGUAUUGUAAACAUCCUACACUCUCAGCUGUGGAAACUAAGAAAGCUGGGAGAAGGCUGUUUACUCUCCCUGCCUUGGAAAUCAUCUGGAGAGCAAAGAUGGAAGAUUAUGUUGACUGUAUUUCUGGCAGCCUGUAUUUCAUACUUUACAUUAUGGUGUCAGUAAACAAAUUAUGUCAUUAUAAUGUCAUUAUAUGUGAUAAUAUCAUCCAUGUCUUGUGUCCAGACCAAGGUCAGAAGGGCUUUAUGAUAUGCCUUAGCUAUACUGCUGGCUUGAGGGAAACUUAAAUAGUAGCAAUAAUACACUGUAAUGCUUCCAUCCUUAAGCAGCAAUUAAAAAAGACCUGUCACACUGUUUGUUUAUAGGUAGUGAUACACAAAAGUUGCAGUGUGAGCAUCUUCAAGUUGACACAUCAGUAUUGUAUUUAAUCAAAAUCACCCUUAAAUGGUUGGUACUUGUUUUUCUAAGAUCUACUCAAUUCUUGUUUUCUACUCAAAAAUGCUAGAAACAGGGGUUAGAAGGCAAAAAGGUUUUAGAGGAAUUCAAAUUUCAGUUUCUUUUCAAAGAAAAUCAGAGGUGUCAACAUCAACUCCGAUUCUAAAUUAAAUUAGGAUACAAAGGUCUUAUACCUUAUGUUUUCUACUUGGUGUUCCCCACCACUUGCUCCCCAGACUGUAUUAUACUUUGUGCUUUGUCCUGGCAAUCUUUCUCCUCUUUCUUGUGUUUCUUUCAUUCUAUAUACUGUAAACCAAGUAGAAUGUAGAAUAAGCUGAAAAAUAAUUUUCCUUUUAAAUCUAAUAUCCUGCUGGCAUGGUACUAAAUACUCUUAAAGUGAGUUUUGCAGCUUUUCUUAAGCAGGGACUGGCAGAAAGAAUAUUAUUUCCCGCUUUUCUCUUUUUCCUUGUUUAUGGGGAAGGGAUACACCUUUUGAAAAAGAAAUUUUUCAUAUUAUAGUUGAAUUCAAAGAUCAUUGUCUAGUUAUUUUUACAAUAGCAUUCUUAUGUCUUCAGAGCCUGCUGCUUCAGCUUUUUAGAAAAGACAUUUAAAUAUAAAAUCUUUGAAAUUAGGGCUUUUAGAAGAGUUUAGUUUUCAGGUUUUGUAAAGGGAUGGGAGUGGAAAGACAACAGGUAAAAGAAUGUGUAAGGGUUUGAAGUAGUACUUACACAAAAUGGAGAAAGAAAAAAAGAAUUCAAACUUUCAUGCAGAACUUAAAAAAAGUCAGUUAUUUGAAGUAAUAAUUAUUUUUCAGGCUCUGUCUUGCUUUCCUAUUGGAAGAAGCAGUAAGAGGGAAAGUGCUGUAAGGGUCACAGUGCUGUAGUGAAGAACUAAAUUGAUAAGUAAAAAGAAGGCUUAUGAUUUGUGUAGUAAUUUUCAAGAAAAGCAGAGUUAACCCCUGCAAAUGAUUGUUUUAAGAUGUAAGCUGUUCAGACUAGUCAGACGAUAGGGGGUAGCAUUUCCUAAUACACAUGGUUCCCUUGGCAAACAGAGAUUUCAGGGGAUGGUGGAGCACAGUUACUUCCUCCACUGCAUGACAAUACUGAUUGUAGACUGUGCUGUCUGGGAAAGACAACCUCCUGAAGGAGAUAACUUCCUGAAUUUCUGAGAUGUGGGUUUGUAUAUUAUUUUUAUUUAGACAUGCUUUGGGUUUGGAGUUAUUAUUUUGUGUCAAUUGAAAAUAUUUCUCUAUAUUUAAUAUUACCUACUUAUCACUGAAUAGUGAAAUUCCAUAUUCAGUUUCAUAUAUAUAUAAAGAUUCCAAUAGUCCCAACUUUGUCAUAUGUUUUUCCUGGCCCACACUUUCCUGGCUUUGUACUGACAUGAUACGUUUAAACUGCAAACUAAUUCAGUGUCUUGACCCCACUGAAAACUAAUUAAACAAAACAGCUUUUAUGUGGAUCAGCUGCUUACUCCACCACUGUCCUGUGGUCUGAAAUACUACUGAAAGUACUAGUUCCUUCAAAUAUGGCCAGUUUCCUGAAGAAAAAAAGACCCAGCAUUUAUUUUGAAUAGAUUAUGUAAUCCUAAAACAAUAAAAUAGUGAAAUUACAGGAUUUUGAAUAUUUUAUUUCAUAUUAGUCUGUUGAUGCUAAUGUCUGAACACUAUUGCAGGCAUGGUGUUAAAAUAAAUUCAGAUUGAAUUGUUUUAAUUAAAAUCUUUCAUUUUUUGAACACCAUUUAUGAUUCUUCUGUAAAGAUUUGUUGGUAAAGUCUAACUAAAUUGUGUUGCUAGAUGGUAGUAACUGGUAAUUUUUCUAUCUCCAGACCUUUAAUUGUAAAGGUAUCUUCUGAUGUACCUGCACCAUACUGAGCACUGUAUAAAUUGCCUCAUUUCUAGAUCACAGAGGUUUUUUUCCCCCCAAGGUAUUGCUUGCCAAGCCAAAGGCAAACAUUGUGUCCUUUUCUCUUGUUAAUCCCAGACUUCAAAGAGUUGAAAAUUAUUUCCAGUCUAUCAAUUAAACAUAAAAUUUUUCUAUUGUGGAAAAAAAGAUGUAACAGGGCUGUUUCAAAAGCCUGUUGCCAGUAAUGAGUUUUGGAUUGGGUCCAUGGAGAGGUAAUCUGGAUAGCUACCACCACAAGUCAUCUCUGGGAAACUGCUGAUUGUAGGCAUGGCCUUUUUUUCUUGAAGGGUGGUUCUGCCAAGAUGCAAAAAUGACUUGUUCCAAGUGAUUCUUGGCACUACCCUAGACCAUAUUAUUCCUGCCUGUUACAGGUCAAUGUGCUACAUUGAUUGUUUUGUUAUGAGGAAAAGGAAGCUUCUUGUUAUCGUGUUUCUUUAUUUCUAACCUUUUGUCUUGGUUUGCUUGGGUUUUUUAAGCUACAUUUUUGAUUACAUAGUCCUUCAAGGUAAUUGUCAGACAUCCAUUACAUUCGGUAAUAUAGGGAGUGACCAUGGGAAGGAAGAAAGAACAUGUGGGAGUACUCAGGCAAAUCUGUUGCUUGUACUGAGAAUGCAACCUGAACUUGAGAUUUGCAAGUGAAAUACUAGAAAAAUACUGUACUGAAAGUUUCAAAGAGCUGCUAGUGAGGGAAAUGAGAGGUGAAAGGAGACAAGAGGUAAUUGACUUGUCAUCCAAAGGGUGAAAAGUAAUAAAAUGUUGAUUUUAAGUGUAAACACUUCCUUGAUGAUGCAGUGAAAGAAAGACAUAAUUUUCCUUAAUGCUUAUACAAAAGUCAAGUUCUGUUUUAUGCAGUAAAUCUCAGUGUCACUGCUUCUAAUUCAGUACAGGAGAAUUCAAAAGUCUAUGACAAGCUAUUCUACUUUGAAGACCUAUAUCAAAAUUGAAAAAGAAAAAAGAGUUUGCUUUGAAUGAAGAAGAAGAAAAACAUAUUAUGUGGACUUCAGUCAUAAUUUCCCUGAAAUGAGAGAUGGAGUUCUAGAUCUGAGUUUUCUCUGUGUUGUGAUUGAAAUAAAAACAUGGAAAAGCAACUGUCCUUCUGCAGAAUGCAAACAGGUGUGGAACAUCUGCAGUACAGAUAUUCAUUCAUAUGCAAAUGUUUUUACAGCUUAAAAAUACAUUAACUUAAAAUCUGAUCAAACACUCUGUUUGAUUCCGGUUUUCUUCAAAAUUGGGUUCUGUUUUUAAAAAAUAUUUUUAUGUAAACUGAUUCUCAUAAAAAUUGUGUUCAAUUAAAUAGAAAGCAAAAGCUGAAGUUUCUGUUACUCUUGUGAAGAUUUUGGUUCUUGACAGCUCUGGGUUCCAUCCAAGACCUACUUAGCUACAGUUAAGCUGUUGUUUCCUUGUUUUUGACCUUUGGUUUUAAGGAUGUUAGCAUGAAUUAAAUGAAAAUAUGCUUUUCUAUCAAACACUUUAUAGAAUAAGCAAACUUCAGCUAAGCAGUGCAGUCUAUAACUACAAAGCUGAGGACUUGCUUAUUUUAAAUAGUGUAAUAUGAUAGCUAAAUUAUACCUUAUUUAACUCUUCAAAAAGGAGAAAAGAGUGAGGCUAUGUUGCAUAAGCCUUGUGUUUGCAAUGCUGACUUUACAAGAAUAUCCAGUUUUGUUCCUCCUUAAGUUAAUAGGGGAUUUAUGGUUUGCUGCCUUGGUGCUGUUGUUAAACUGUUAAAAUAAUACUGCAGGGAGCUGGGCUCUAAUCCUGAUUUUGGACAGACUCUGCUUUCUCCAUUGUGAAAAAGAUGACACUUCCUCUGUAAAGGCAGAACCCCACGUUGUUCAUCAGUCUCAAUUGCAAUAAAGUAUGCUUUCUAAAAUCAUGCCAUCA